rnacentral:rRNA from 1 species
UACGGGGGGGGUAAGCGUUGUUCGGAAUUACUGGGCGUAAAGGGCUCGUAGGCGGCCAACUAAGUCAGACGUGAAAUCCCCAGGCUCAACCUGGGAACUGCGUCUGAUACUGGAUGGCUUGAAUUCGGGAGAGGGAUGCAGAAUUCCAGGUGUAGCGGUGAAAUGCGUAGAUAUCUGGAGGAAUACCGGUGGCGAAGGCGGCAUCCUGGACCGAUAUUGACACUGAGGAGCGAAAGCCAGGGGAGCAAACGGG